GAUGAACGCUGGCGGCGUGCCUAAUACAUGCAAGUCGAGCGAACAGACGAGGAGCUUGCUCCUCUGACGUUAGCGGCGGACGGGUGAGUAACACGUGGAUAACCUACCUAUAAGACUGGGAUAACUUCGGGAAACCGGAGCUAAUCCCGGAUAAUAUAUUGAACCGCAUGGUUCAAUAUUGAAAGACGGUUUUGCUGUCACUUAUAGAUGGAUCCGCGCCGCAUUAGCUAGUUGGUAAGGUAACGGCUUACCAAGGCAACGAUGCGUAGCCGACCUGAGAGGGUGAUCGGCCACACUGGAACUGAGACACGGUCCAGACUCCUACGGGAGGCAGCAGUAGGGAAUCUUCCGCAAUGGGCGAAAGCCUGACGGAGCAACGCCGCGUGAGUGAUGAAGGUCUUCGGAUCGUAAAACUCUGUUAUUAGGGAAGAACAAAUGUGUAAGUAACUAUGCACGUCUUGACGGUACCUAAUCAGAAAGCCACGGCUAACUACGUG
rnacentral:rRNA from 1 species